AUACAGAGGUCUCAAGCGUUGUUCGGAUUCAUUGGGCGUAAAGGGUGCGUAGGUGGCGCGCUAAGUCAGGUGUGAAAUUUCGGAGCUUAACUCCGAAACUGCAUUUGAUACUGGCGUGCUUGAGGACUGGAGAGGAGACUGGAAUUCAUGGUGUAGCAGUGAAAUGCGUAGAGAUCAUGAGGAAGACCAGUGGCGAAGGCGGGUCUCUGGACAGUUCCUGACGCUGAGGCACGAAGGCCAGGGGAGCAAACGG
rnacentral:rRNA from 1 species